rnacentral:rRNA from 1 species
GACGAACCGAGCGAACGUUGUUCGGAAUCACUGGGCUUAAAGGGCGCGUAGGCGGGCUGCCAAGUCUGGGGUGAAAUCCCGCGGCUCAACCGUGGAACUGCCUCAGAUACUGGCGGCCUCGAGGGGAGAUAGGGGCAAGCGGAACUAAUGGUGGAGCGGUGAAAUGCGUUGAUAUCAUUAGGAACUCCGGUGGCGAAGGCGGCUUGCUGGAUCUCUUCUGACGCUGAGGCGCGAAAGCUAGGGGAGCAAACGGG